UUGUGACCGUAAACGAUGCCAACUAGCGAUCCGCCGGCGGAUUUCCAAACGCCCUGGUGGGGAGCUUCCCGGAAACGAAAGUCUUCCGGUUCCGGGGGAAGUAUGGUUGCAAAGCUGAAACUUAAAGGAAUUGACGGAAGGGCACCACCAGGAGUGGAGCCUGCGGCUUAAUUUGACUCAACACGGGAAAACUCACCCGGCCCGGACACCGCGAGGAUUGACAGAUUGAUAGCUCUUUCAUGAUUCGGUGGAUGGUGGUGCAUGGCCGUUCUUAGUUCGUGGAGCGAUUUGUCUGGUUUAUUCCGAUAACGAGCGAGACUCUAGCCUACUAAAUAGUCCGCACAUUCUUCACUGUAGUGUGCAUGGACUUCUUAGAGGGAUCAUCGGCGUUCAAAGCCGCACGAAACUGAGCAAUAACAGGUCUGUGAUGCCCUUAGAUGUCCGGGGCUGCACGCGCGCUACACUGGCGAAAUCAGCGUGCCUGUCCUUUCGCGAAAGCGAUUGGUAAACCGGUGAAAAUUCGCCGUGAUUGGGAUCGGAAAUUGCAAUUAUUUUUCCGUGAACGAGGAAUUCCAAGUAAGUGCGAGUCAUCAACUCGCGUUG
rnacentral:rRNA from 1 species